CCAAACUAUGGUUAAGGAACUUUGCAAAUUAGCCCCGUAAGUUCGCGAGAAGGGGUGCCUGUCAAAACACAGGCCGCAGUAAAGAGGCACGAACGACUGUUUAUCAAAAACACAGCUCUCUGCUAAGGAGCAAUCCGAUGUAUAGGGGGCGACGCCUGCCCGGUGCUGGAAGGUUAAGAGGAGGAGUUAGCCGUAAGGUGAAGCUCUGAAUUGAAGCCCCAGUGAACGGCGGCCGUAACUAUAACGGUCCAAAGGUAGCGAAAUUCCUUGUCAGGUAAGUUCUGACCCGCAUGAAAGGCGUAACGAUUCGUGCACUGUCUCAACCAUAGACUCGGUGAAAUCUUAGUACCUGUGAAGAUGCAGGUUACCCGCAACUAGACGGAAAGACCCCGUGGAGCUUUACUGCAACCUGAUAUUGAGUUUUUUUCUUAUUUAUUCAGGAUAUCAAUAGGUGGAAGACUAUGAAGCCAAGACGCCAGUUUUGGUGGAGUCAACGGUGAGAUACCACCUCUAUAAGCAAAAAAUUCUAACUUAUUGGUUUACAGCCAAAAGGACAGUGUUUGGUGGGUAGUUUAACUGGGGCGGUUGCCUCCUAAAAAGUAACGGAGGCGUUCAAAGGUAUCCUCAGCAGAAGUAGAAAUUCUGUGAUGAGCGUAAAGGUAAAAGGAUGCUUAACUGUGAGACUGACCAGUCGAACAGAUACGAAAGUAGGACUUAGUGAUCUGCCGAUGCUUAGUGGUAAGGUCGGCACUCAACGAAUAAAAGUUACCCCGGGGAUAACAGGCUUAUCUUUUCCGAGCGACCAUAGCGACGAAAAGGAUUGGCACCUCGAUGUCGGCUCUUCUCAUCCUGGUGGUGAAGAAGCUACCAAGGGUUGGGCUGUUCGCCCAUUAAAGAGGAACGUGAGCUGGGUUCAGAACGUCGUGAGACAGUUUGGUUCCUAUCUAUUGCGGGCGCAGGAAAUUUGCGGGGAUCUGUCCCUAGUACGAGAGGACCGGGAUGGACUAACCAAUGGUGUACCAGUUAUUUCUUCAGAAGCACGGCUGGAUAGCUAUGUUAGGAAUAAAUAAGCGCUGAAAGCAUCUAAGUGCGAAGUUAACCCCAAGAUUAGAUUUCCCAUCCCGCAAGGGAGUAAGAUACCUUUUAGACUAAGAGGUUGAUAGGCAACAAAUGUAAGCAGAGUAAUCUGUUCAGUUAAGUUGUACUAAUUUAUCGAGGACUUAUUUU
rnacentral:rRNA from 1 species